rnacentral:rRNA from 1 species
UACAGAGGUCUCAAGCGUUGUUCGGAAUUACUGGGCGUAAAGGGUGCGCAGGCCGCGCGGGCAGUCAAAUGUGUAAUUCAGGGGCUCAACCCCUGCACUGCGCUUGAUACUUCCGCGCUCGAGCUUUGGAAAGGAGUCUGGAAUUCUCGGUGUAGCAGUGAAAUGCGUGGAUAUCGAGAAGAACACUGAGGGCGAAAGCAAGACUCUGGACAAAUGCUGACGCUCAUGCACGAAGGCGAGGGUAGCGAACGGG